CGUUAGCGGCGGACGGGUGAGUAACGCGUGGACAACCUGCCCUAUGCAGGGGGAUAACAUCCGGAAACGGGUGCUAAUACCGCAUAAGCGCACAGUACCGCAUGGUACGGUGUGAAAAGCUGAGGCGGCAUAGGAUGGGUCCGCGUUGGAUUAGGCAGUUGGCGGGGUAACGGCCCACCAAACCGACGAUCCAUAGCCGGCCUGAGAGGGUGGACGGCCACAUUGGGACUGAGACACGGCCCAGACUCCUACGGAAGGCAGCAG
rnacentral:rRNA from 1 species